AAGGAAAUCGCAUACUAAAUUAGAGGAUGUAGGAUUGGUAUAUUAAGUCGGGAGCAUUCGUUAGAAUUAUUAUUUCGACUCAAGACGUUUCAAAGCUUCUACCGUUCCUUUCUUUCGGAAGUAUAUUUCCUAUCAAACGAAAUUAUGAAGGUCACAGUAGCAACAUUCUUUGUCUUGAUCGCCGCCAUAGCUCUUUUGCUGUCAUCUCCGUCGGAGGCUAUGAGUCUAAUGGGCGGUGGUGGGGGAAAUGGAAUUUCUGAAAUCCUAGUUGCUGGACUCGUAGCCAAGUUACUUUCAGAGCACCACCGUGGUGGAUGUCACUCUUAAGACAAUGAUUGUUCGUAAAUUCUUCUUCUUUUGUUCUUUCUUCAAGCGAACUCCUAGCCAAAUUUUUUUUCAAAUCAGUGGACUAAAAAUUUCGUCCUCUUCGUAUUUCAUUUGUGU